rnacentral:rRNA from 1 species
AACGAACGCUGGCGGCAUGCCUAACACAUGCAAGUCGAACGAGACCUUCGGGUCUAGUGGCGCACGGGUGCGUAACGCGUGGGAACCUGCCCUUAGGUUCGGAAUAACUCCCCGAAAGGGGUGCUAAUACCGGAUAAUGUCUUCGGACCAAAGAUUUAUCGCCUUUGGAUGGGCCCGCGUUGGAUUAGCUAGUUGGUAGGGUAAAAGCCUACCAAGGCGACGAUCCAUAGCUGGUCUGAGAGGAUGAUCAGCCACACUGGGACUGAGACACGGCCCAGACUCCUACGGGAGGCAGAAGUGGGGAAUAUUGGACAGUGGGCGAAGGACUGAUCCAGCAAUGCCGCGUGAGUGAUGAAGGCCUUAGGGUUAUAAAGCUCUUUUACCCGGGAUGAUAAUGACAGUACCGGGAGAAUAAGCUCCGGCUAACUCCGUG